ACUCUUUGAUUGUAAUUCAAUAUUUGAAUAUUAUUCAAUUCUCGUUUUUUUAUCUCAAUUUGUGAACAGUGCAAUUUCAAUUGUUGUUUUUUAUUGAUUAUAAAACAAUGGGUCUAUUCAAAUGUGUAUCUUAAAUCUUGUAAAUGAGAAGCUUUCCAUUGUAUAUUUAUUUUUAUAAAAGGAUAUUUCACAUUUUACUUCGUAUUAACAUUACAUUACGGUUUCUUUUGCUUUUGUAAUCAUCUUUUUUUUGUUAUGCUGUGGUUUAUUUUAAGUGAUUCACAAGUAAAGUUUAGAGUGUAAAGUUUUCUGGGCCCUUUGUGUUGACGGUUUAUUUUUGAUUCUCUCUGGUUCCUCUGACUCAAUCUGAUCUUUUCUGUUCCUUGUUGCUGAAUGUCUAACCAGAUAACAUGAAAAAAAUACAAACCCCUGGACUGUAGAUUGAUUCAGUCCAAGCUGAAAGGUCAUCUUUAUAACUUGCAUUCAUUAUUAUGUGAUACAAGUCUUUAUUAAUUUAGCUAUUGUACUGAUUUACAAUUGAUCAUCUUUGGCUACUGGUCAUUGUAUUUUGAUUGACUUGCUUAUAGAUUCUGUUGGUGGCUAUCAAUUCUCAUACUUCUAGGUGAACGUGACAUAACCCGAUGCAAUCGAAGACAAUGAUAAUUACAAAUCAAAGUGGAAGCGCUAAAACAUUAGUUUUAAUAUUGAUAUACAUGAUUAAUAAUAAUAGCUUAAUUUAUACACUGAUUGGUAUUGCUUUUAAUUAACAAUGAGCUUACUUUUUUAUUUGUUUCCAUGCUUCGUACCUGAUAAUGCCAAUUAAUUAGCUUUUUGGACACUUUUUAAGGUCAGAAUAAGGUCUCUAAGGUCCUAACUCUACCUUUCAUAAACCUAAUUUUGUUUAUUUCUUCUAUCCAAUUAUACACAAUUACAAUAAUAUAUAACACAUUUUAUCAAUUGACCGCAAUUUAUAUUCACAUUAGGUCAACUUGGAUAACUGGUCAAUCAAUAUUCACAAUUAUUAUAAUCACAACAUUCACUCGAAACAGAAUUACUUUCAUGAUUGGAAUAUGGAAUAAACUGAUUUGAUGAGAUACCAUGUCAAUUAUAUUCUGAAAUUGAAUUGUUUGAACUGGAAAACCAAAACAUUUCAUGGACCAAAAACUAACCAGUCAGGAAAAAAUAAAAGCAAAACUUAUUCAAGGAACUGUAAAGCUCAUCAACAUCAAUUCGCCAUCUUCAUAACUCAUUUCAAUUUUGAAAAUGCGAACUCCCUGAUUUUAUUGGAUGUUUCCCAUGAUUCCAAACGAAUGAUAGAAAAACUAAAACUGAAAAGUCCGAUGAUAAGCUUCAUAGUAAAAGCUCCAUAUCAAGAAAUGAGAGACACAAUGAGAAAAGAAUGGAAAAUCAAGACUAUUAAAAAUGAAAUUAUUACGGGGCCUCAGUCAUGUCGAAAUGUGGAUGUUGAUAGUGCAUCGAAGUUGCUCGACGGAAAGACAAUCAAACUCACUCAAAGUUCCUUUGUAUUUACCAUGCCAUUGGAAUGGUUUAGAUAAAUAAGAUUAUGUAUUUGUUUAGCUUGUUGAUAUUAUUUGAUACAUAUUAUAUCUUGUUAAAUUAUUCAA